GGACAGAUGGCCGAGUUGGUUAUGGCGUGAGGUUAAGGUCUACCUUAACAUGUUGGCAACAAUAGUUCCUCAUGGGAUUUUCCCGCCUGGGUUCGAGUCCCAGUCUGUUCA